GCCUGGGUGGCUCAGUGGUUGAGCAUCUGCCUUCAGCUCAGGGUGUGAUCCUGAGUCCUGGGAUCGAGUCCCACAUCGGGCU
rnacentral:tRNA from 1 species